rnacentral:tRNA from 1 species
GGUUAUGGCUCAGCGGUAGAGCACUCGCCUCACACAUAUGAGACACUGGGUUCAAUCCUCAGCACCA